GAGGACAUAGCUCAGUGGUAGAGAGUGUGUUUAGCACGCACAAGGUCCAGGGUUCAAUCCUGGUACCUCCA
rnacentral:tRNA from 1 species